GAUGAACGCUGGCGGCGUGCCUAAUACAUGCAAGUCGAGCGAAAAGAUGAGGAGCUUGCUCCUCUGACGUUAGCGGCGGACGGGUGAGUAACACGUGGAUAACCUACCUAUAAGACUGGGAUAACUUCGGGAAACAGGAGCUAAUACCGGAUAAUAUAUUGAACCGCAUGGUUCAAUAGUGAAAGACGGUUUUGCUGUCACUUAUAGCUGGAUCCGCGCCGCAUUAGCUAGUUGGUAAGGUAACGGCUUACCAAGGCAACGAUGCGUAGCCGACCUGAGAGGGGGAUCGGCCACACUGGAACUGAGACACGGUCCAGACUCCUACGGGAGGCAGCAGUAGGGAAUCUUCCGCAAAGGGCGAAAGCCUGACGGAGCAACGCCGCGUGAGUGAUGAAGGUCUUCGGAUCGUAAAACUCUGUUAGCAGGGAAGAACAAAUGUGUAAGUAAAUAUGCCCGUCAUGACGGUACCUAAACAGAAAGCAACGGCUAACUACGUG
rnacentral:rRNA from 1 species